UACGUAGGGUGCAAGCGUUGUCCGGAAUUAUUGGGCGUAAAGAGCUUGUAGGCGGUUUGUCGCGUCUGCUGUGAAAUCUCAAGGCUCAACCUUGAGCUUGCAGUGGGUACGGGCAGACUAGAGUGUGGUAGGGGAGACUGGAAUUCCUGGUGUAGCGGUGGAAUGCGCAGAUAUCAGGAGGAACACCGAUGGCGAAGGCAGAUCUCUGGGCCGUUACUGACGCUGAGGAGCGAAAGCGUGGGGAGCGAACAGG
rnacentral:rRNA from 1 species